GACGAACGCUGGCGGCGUGCUUAACACAUGCAAGUCGAACGGAAAGGCCCUGCUUUUGUGGGGUGCUCGAGUGGCGAACGGGUGAGUAACACGUGAGUAACCUGCCCUUGACUUUGGGAUAACUUCAGGAAACUGGGGCUAAUACCGGAUAGGAGCUCCUGCUGCAUGGUGGGGGUUGGAAAGUUUCGGCGGUUGGGGAUGGACUCGCGGCUUAUCAGCUUGUUGGUGGGGUAGUGGCUUACCAAGGCUUUGACGGGUAGCCGGCCUGAGAGGGUGACCGGCCACAUUGGGACUGAGAUACGGCCCAGACUCCUACGUGAGGCAGCAGUGGGGAAUAUUGCACAAUGGGCGGAGGCCUGAUGCAGCAACGCCGCGUGCGGGAUGACGGCCUUCGGGUUGUAAACCGCUUUCGCCUGUGACGAAGCGUGAGUGACGGUAAUGGGUAAAGAAGCACCGGCUAACUACGU
rnacentral:rRNA from 1 species